rnacentral:rRNA from 1 species
ACGCUCGACAUCUACGGGGCAGCAGUGGGGAAUAUUGCACAAUGGGGGAAACCCUGAUGCAGCAACGCCGCGUGAAGGAAGACGGUUUUCGGAUUGUAAACUUCUGUUCUUAGUGAAGAUAGUGACGGUAGCUAAGGAGCAAGCCACGGCUAACUACGUGCCAGCAGCCGUGGUAAUCUGAGCGGGCUGGCAAGGC